rnacentral:rRNA from 1 species
UUUAUGGAGAGUUUGAUCCUGGCUCAGGAUGAACGCUGGCGGCGUGCCUAAUACAUGCAAGUCGAGCGAACAGAUAAGGAGCUUGCUCCUUUGACGUUAGCGGCGGACGGGUGAGUAACACGUGGGUAACCUACCUAUAAGACUGGAAUAACUCCGGGAAACCGGGGCUAAUGCCGGAUAACAUGUUGAACCGCAUGGUUCUACAGUGAAAGACGGUCUUGCUGUCACUUAUAGAUGGACCCGCGCCGUAUUAGCUAGUUGGUGGGGUAACGGCCUACCAAGGCGACGAUACGUAGCCGACCUGAGAGGGUGAUCGGCCACACUGGAACUGAGACACGGUCCAGACUCCUACGGGAGGCAGCAGUAGGGAAUCUUCCGCAAUGGGCGAAAGCCUGACGGAGCAACGCCGCGUGAGUGAUGAAGGUCUUCGGAUCGUAAAGCUCUGUUGUUAGGGAAGAACAAAUGUGUAAGUAACUGUGCACAUCUUGACGGUACCUAACCAGAAAGCCACGGCUAACUACGUGCCAGCAGCCGCGGUAAUACGUAGGUGGCAAGCGUUAUCCGGAAUUAUUGGGCGUAAAGCGCGCGUAGGCGGUUUUUUAAGUCUGAUGUGAAAGCCCACGGCUCAACCGUGGAGGGUCAUUGGAAACUGGAAAACUUGAGUGCAGAAGAGGAAAGUGGAAUUCCAUGUGUAGCGGUGAAAUGCGCAGAGAUAUGGAGGAACACCAGUGGCGAAGGCGGCUUUCUGGUCUGCAACUGACGCUGAUGUGCGAAAGCGUGGGGAUCAAACAGGAUUAGAUACCCUGGUAGUCCACGCCGUAAACGAUGAGUGCUAAGUGUUAGGGGGUUUCCGCCCCUUAGUGCUGCAGCUAACGCAUUAAGCACUCCGCCUGGGGAGUACGGUCGCAAGACUGAAACUCAAAGGAAUUGACGGGGACCCGCACAAGCGGUGGAGCAUGUGGUUUAAUUCGAAGCAACGCGAAGAACCUUACCAAAUCUUGACAUCCUUUGACCGCUCUAGAGAUAGAGUUUUCCUCUUCGGAGGACAAAGUGACAGGUGGUGCAUGGUUGUCGUCAGCUCGUGUCGUGAGAUGUUGGGUUAAGUCCCGCAACGAGCGCAACCCUUGAACUUAGUUGCCAUCAUUCAGUUGGGCACUCUAAGUUGACUGCCGGUGACAAACCGGAGGAAGGUGGGGAUGACGUCAAAUCAUCAUGCCCCUUAUGAUUUGGGCUACACACGUGCUACAAUGGA